rnacentral:ribozyme from 13 species
AACAAAACCAAAUUGUCACCAAUUUAAUUUAGAUCGUUCUCAGGAAUGAACAAAUAAAGUAAUAACAGCUUUAUCAGCUGUUGCUCCAUCAUAUUGCAUC